CAUACCUAUUCGAAGGGAUAGGGUCGGUUCGGCCGGAUUUCACACAGGUGUUGCAUGGCUGUCGUCAGCUCGUGUCGUGAGAUGUUGGGUUAAGUCCCGCAACGAGCGCAACCCUCAUCCUUAGUUACCAUCAGGUAAUGCUGGGGACUUUAAGGAAACUGCUAGUGAUAAACUGGAGGAAGGUGGGGAUGAUGUCAAGUCAUCAUGGCCCUUAUGGAGUGGGCUACACACGUGCUACAAUGGUGGCUACAAUGGGCUGCAAAGUCGCGAGGCUAAGCUAAUCCCUUAAAAGCCAUCUCAGUUCGGAUUGUACUCUGCAACUCGAGUGCAUGAAGUUGGAAUCGCUAGUAAUCGUGGAUCAGCACGCCACGGUGAAUACGUUCUCGGGUCUUGUACACACUGCCCGUCACGCCAUGGGAAUUGGUUUCACUCGAAGCU
rnacentral:rRNA from 1 species